rnacentral:rRNA from 1 species
UCAAAAACAUGUCCUAUUGUAUAAUAAUUUUAGGUUUGACCUGCCCCCUGACUUAUUAAAUGGCCGCGGUAUUUUGACCGUGCUAAGGUAGCAUAAUCAUUAGUUUCUUAAUUAGAAGCUGGAAUGAAAGGUUGGAUGAAAAAAUUUCUGUCUCUAUUUAAAUUAAUUAUAAUUUUAUUUUUUAGUUAAAAAGCUAAAAUAAUUUUAAAAGACGAGAAGACCCUAUAGAGUUUUAUAUUUAAGUAUUUUAAUAUUUAUUGGUAUAUAAAUUUUUAAUUUAAUUAAAUAUUUGAUUGGGGUGAUUAAAAAAUUAAUUAAACUUUUUUUAUAAAUUUUACAUUAAUUAGUGAUUGGUUGAUCCAUUUUUUAUGAUUAUAAGAUUAAAUUACCUUAGGGAUAACAGCGUAAUAUUUUCAGAGAGUUCUUAUCGAAGAAAAAGUUUGCGACCUCGAUGUUGGAUUAAAAUUAAUUUUUGGCGUAGCAGUUAAAAAAUUAGGUCUGUUCGACCUUUAAAAUUUUACAUGAUCUGA